rnacentral:rRNA from 1 species
ACGCACGCUGGCGGCGUGCCUCAUACAUGCAAGUAGCACGCUGAAGAGAGGAGCUUGCUCUUCUUGGAUGAGUUGCGAACGGGUGAGUAACGCGUAGGUAACCUGCCUUGUAGCGGGGGAUAACUAUUGGAAACGAUAGCUAAUACCGCAUAACAAUGGAUGACCCAUGUCAUUUAUUUGAAAGGGGCAAAUGCUCCACUACAAGAUGGACCUGCGUUGUAUCAGCUAGUAGGUGAGGUAACGGCUCACCUAGGCGACGAUACAUAGCCGACCUGAGAGGGUGAUCGGCCACACUGGGACUGAGACACGGCCCAGACUCCUACGGGAGGCAGCAGUAGGGAAUCUUCGGCAAUGGGGGCAACCCUGACCGAGCAACGCCGCGUGAGUGAAGAAGGUUUUCGGAUCGUAAAGCUCUGUUGUAAGUCAAGAACGAGUGUGAGAGUGGAAAGUUCACACUGUGACGGUAGCUUACCAGAAAGGGACGGCUAACUACGUG